rnacentral:sRNA from 1 species
UGAUACUUCCUUACUUCUGUUAAGUAGCAAAACAUGGCAGAUACACGUUUUAGAAUCAGGACCUACAAUUUCAGCUGUUUUAUAUAGUUAUGCCAACAGUGUCUAAAAAGAAGCUGAGCUGACAAAGAUAAUAAUGUUGAAACUUGAUUAAAGCUAUUGAAGAGUGAAAACACAAACAGGGAUGAGCAGAAAUUCAGCUGGCAAUGAGAGAAGAUUAAAAAGAAAAAAUAUUUCUGUUUGGGCUAUUCGGUGAGAUUGGCGCAAAAAGGCAACAUCCUUCACAGCCAACAUAUUCAACAUCAGCUAUGUUCCAAGGGAAUGAAAAUAAAUGAAAAUAAUGCUACUACCAUUGAAGCACUUAUAUUACAGCAGUGGGGAAAUAAAUUCUGGGUCAGAUGAGUGGAAACCUCAACCACAAACAAAGAAUUUGUCGAUAAAUGUCAUUGAUUUUAACUUUUCUUUAGGAGGAAGCCAUGCAUUAAACAGCUAAAAAUGUGUUAUGCCUUUUAUU